rnacentral:rRNA from 1 species
AUUGAACGCUGGCGGCAUGCCUUACACAUGCAAGUCGAACGGCAGCACGGGAGCUUGCUCCUGGUGGCGAGUGGCGAACGGGUGAGUAAUACAUCGGAACGUACCCUGAAGUGGGGGAUAACGUAGCGAAAGUUACGCUAAUACCGCAUAUUCUGGGAGCAGGAAAGAGGGGGAUCGCAAGACCUCUUGCUUUAGGAGCGGCCGAUGUCGGAUUAGCUAGUUGGUGAGGUAAAGGCUCACCAAGGCGACGAUCCGUAGCGGGUCUGAGAGGAUGAUCCGCCACACUGGGACUGAGACACGGCCCAGACUCCUACGGGAGGCAGCAGUGGGGAAUUUUGGACAAUGGGCGCAAGCCUGAUCCAGCCAUGCCGCGUGAGUGAAGAAGGCC